GUAGGGGUAAAAUCCGUAGAUAUCACCAAGAAUACCCAUUGCGAAGGCGAUCUGCUGGAACUCAACUGACGCUAAGGCGCGAAAGCGUGGGGAGCAAACAGGAUUAGAUACCCUGGUAGUCCACGCCCUAAACGAUGUACACUAGUUGUUGGGGUGCUAGUCAUCUCAGUAAUGCAGCUAACGCAUUAAGUGUACCGCCUGGGGAGUACGGUCGCAAGAUUAAAACUCAAAGGAAUAGACGGGGACCCGCACAAGCGGUGGAGCAUGUGGUUUAAUUCGAAGAUACGCGAAGAACCUUACCUGGGCUUGAUAUCCUAAGAACCUUUUAGAGAUAAGAGGGUGCUAGCUUGCUAGAACUUAGAGACAGGUGCUGCACGGCUGUCGUCAGCUCGUGUCGUGAGAUGUUGGGUUAAGUCCCGCAACGAGCGCAACCCACGUAUUUAGUUGCUAACGGUUCGGCCGAGCACUCUAAAUAGACUGCCUUCGUAAGGAGGAGGAAGGUGUGGACGACGUCAAGUCAUCAUGGCCCUUAUGCCCAGGGCGACACACGUGCUACAAUGGCAUAUACAAUGAGACGCAAUACCGCGAGGUGGAGCAAAUCUAUAAAAUAUGUCCCAGUUCGGAUUGUUCUCUGCAACUCGAGAGCAUGAAGCCGGAAUCGCUAGUAAUCGUAGAUCAGCCAUGCUACGGUGAAUACGUUCCCGGGUCUUGUACUCACCGCCCGUCACACCAUGGGAGUUGAUUUCACUCGAAGCCGGAAUACUAAACUAGUUACCGUCCACAGUGGAAUCAGCGACUGGGGUGAAGUCGUAACAAGGUAACCGUAGGAGAACCUGCGGUUGGAUCACCUCCUUUCUA
rnacentral:rRNA from 1 species